AUUGAACGCUGGCGGCAUGCCUUACACAUGCAAGUCGAACGGCAGCACGGGGGCAACCCUGGUGGCGAGUGGCGAACGGGUGAGUAAUACAUCGGAACGUGUCCUAUCGUGGGGGGAUAACUAGUCGAAAGACUAGCUAAUACCGCAUGAGAUCGAGAGAUGAAAAGCAGGGGGACCGCAAGGCCUUGCGCGAUUGGAGCGGCCGAUGUCGGAUUAGCUUAGUGCGGGUAAAGCCACAAGGCGACGAUCCGUAGCUGGUUUGAGAGAACGACAGCCACACUGGGACUGAGACACGGCCCAGACUCC
rnacentral:rRNA from 1 species